CGUAGGUGGCAAGCGUUGUCCGGAAUUAUUGGGCGUAAAGCGCGCGCAGGUGGUUCCUUAAGUCUGAUGUGAAAGCCCACGGCUCAACCGUGGAGGGUCAUUGGAAACUGGGGAACUUGAGUGCAGAAGAGGAAAGUGGAAUUCCAAGUGUAGCGGUGAAAUGCGUAGAGAUUUGGAGGAACACCAGUGGCGAAGGCGACUUUCUGGUCUGUAACUGACACUGAGGCGCGAAAGCGUGGGGAGCAAACAGGAUUAGAUACCCUGGUAGUCCACGCCGUAAACGAUGAGUGCUAAGUGUUAGGGGGUUUCCGCCCCUUAGUGCUGCAGCUAACGCAUUAAGCACUCCGCCUGGGGAGUACGGCCGCAAGGCUG
rnacentral:rRNA from 1 species